AUUGAACGCUAGCGGCAUGCUUUAUCCAUGCAAGUCGAACGAGUGGCGGACGGGCGCGUAAUAUAUCGGAACGUGUCCAGUAGCGCGGUCUAACUACUCGCAAGCGUGGCUAAUACCGCAUACUACUGGUGCGGCCGUUGUCGGAUUAGCUAGUGGGUGGGCUAAAGGGUCACCAAGGCAACGCUCCGUAGCGGGUUUUAGAGGACGACCGGCCACAAUGGGACUGCGACCAGGCCCAGACUCCUACGGGAGGCAGAAGUGGGGAAGUGUGGACAAUGGGGGAAACCCUGAUCCAGCCAUCCGGCGUGUGUGAGAAGGCCUUCGGGUUGUAAAAUACUUUUGGCAGAGAAGCGGUAUCUACAGAGUAAGCACCGGCUAACUACGUGCCAGCAGCCGCGGUAAUAC
rnacentral:rRNA from 1 species